AUUGAACGCUGGCGGCAGGCCUAACACAUGCAAGUCGAACGAGUGGCGGACGGGUGAGUAAUGUCUGGGAAACUGCCUGAUGGAGGGGGAUAACUACUUGAAACGGUAGCUAAUACCGCAUACCAUCGGAUGUGCCCAGAUGGGAUUAGCUAGUAGGGGGGGUAAAGGCUCACCUAGGCGACGCUCCCUAGCUGGUCUGAGAGGAUGACCAGCCACACUGGAACUGAGACACGGGCCAGACUCCUACGGUAGGAAGCAGUGGGAAAUAUUGCACAAUGGGGGCAGGCCGGAUGCAGCCAUGCCGGGUGUAUGAAGAAGGCCUUCGGGUUGUAAAGUACUUUCAGCGGGGAGGCGGUACCCGCAGAAGAAGCACCGGCUAACUCCGUGCCAGCAGCCGCGGUAAUAC
rnacentral:rRNA from 1 species